GAGGGUAUAGCUCAAGUGGGAGAGAGCGUGCCUAGCAUGCAUGAGGUCCUGGGUUCAAUUCCCAAUACCUUCU
rnacentral:tRNA from 1 species